rnacentral:rRNA from 1 species
GUCGUCAGCUCGUGUUGUGAAAUGUUGGGUUAAGUCCCGCAACGAGCGCAACCCGUUAUCCUUGUUGCCAGCGGUCCGGCCGGGAAACUCAAAGGAGACUGCCAGUGAUAAACUGGAGGAAGGUGGGGAUGACGUCAAGUCAUCAUGGCCCUUACGACCAGGGCUACACACGUGCUACAAUGGCGCAUACAAAGAGAAGCGACCUCGCGAGAGCAAGCGGACCUCAUAAAGUGCGUCGUAGUCCGGAUUGGAGUCUGCAACUCGACUCCAUGAAGUCGGAAUCGCUAGUAAUCGUGGAUCAGAAUGCCACGGUGAAUACGUUCCCGGGCCUU